rnacentral:tRNA from 1 species
GGAAGUCAUCCGGCUGGAUGAGGGACCUGUCUUGAAAACAGGAGGUCGCAGACGCGACUUGUGAGUUCGAGUCUCACGGCUUCCG